rnacentral:rRNA from 1 species
UACGUAGGGUACGAGCGUUGUCCGGAAUUAUUGGGCGUAAAGAGCUCGUAGGCGGUGUGUCACGUCGAUCGUGAAAACUUACAGCUUAACUGUGAGCGUGCGGUCGAUACGGGCAUCACUGGAGUUCGGCAGGGGAGACUGGAAUUCCUGGUGUAGCGGUGAAGUGCGCAGAUAUCAGGAGGAACACCGGUGGCGAAGGCGGGUCUCUGGGCCGAUACUGACGCUGAGGAGCGAAAGCGUGGGGAGCGAACAGG